rnacentral:lncRNA from 1 species
UGUUGGUAUGCCGAAAAAAUUAAGUUCCUUAAAAAUGAGAAAAUGACCUUGUUAAUGAAAAUAGGGGAAAACAAGCUCCAUAAGUAAUAUUUCAAAUUUUUAUUUAUUUGCUUGACCACCCUAUCCCUGUCAUUGCUAUAUUACAUAUAAAUAUUUUUGAGAUAUAAGUAUUGUUUUACUUACUUAUCAAACACUAGAAAAUAAGUAAGAAAACUACUUAUUUUUCAAAAAAGAAUAUUCAAUGGCAAAUAUUUUUCCUUUGUAUUAAACACACCCAUCAGUUAUAAGUUUUAUCCUCCCUCCGUCCGAAUUUAUGUGUCACUUUUUGAAUUUCAACACUCAAACAAAUUAUCUUUGACCAUAGUUUUUUCUAUAUAUUUUAUAAAU